UCCCUUGUGGCUUAGAUGGCAAAGAACCUGCCUACAAAGCAGGAGAUGCAGGUUCGAUCCCUGGGUCAGGAG
rnacentral:tRNA from 1 species